AUUGAACGCUGGCGGCAGGCUUAACACAUGCAAGUCGAGCGGGGUGAUGGUGCUUGCACUAUCACUUAGCGGCGGACGGGUGAGUAAUGCUUAGGAAUCGGCCUAUUAGUGGGGGACAACAUCUCGAAAGGGAUGCUAAUACCGCAUACGUCCUACGGGAGAAAGCAGGGGAUCACUUGUGACCUUGCGCUAAUAGAUGAGCCUAAGUCGGAUUAGCUAGUUGGUGGGGUAAAGGCCUACCAAGGCGACGAUCUGUAGCGGGUCUGAGAGGAUGAUCCGCCACACUGGGAUUGAGACACGGCCCAGACUCCUACGGGAGGCAGCAGUGGGGAAUAUUGGACAAUGGGGGGAACCCUGAUCCAGCCAUGCCGCGUGUGUGAAGAAGGCCUUAUGGUUGUAAAGCACUUUAAGCGAGGAGGAGGCUCUUUUGGUUAAUACCCAAGAUGAGUGGACGUUACUCGCAGAAUAAGCACCGGCUAACUCUGUGCCAGCCGCCGCUGUAA
rnacentral:rRNA from 1 species